rnacentral:lncRNA from 1 species
AUCAAGCGAUUUAAGAUGGGAGAUGAAGAGUUCACCGGCGAAAAAAUAGAUUACGAACAGACAGACGGCGGAACUCUGUAACUCAAGCUUGUCUGAGACAAUGAUGAAAAGAACCAUAACUCAUGUUAAACGAAAACAGUUUACAAUAUGGAAAAAUUAUAAUUGUUGUUUUUUUCAUAUAACGUGAUGAACGUCAUUUAAAAAUGAAACUCAUAAUACACUUGUAGGCCCGACCCACAGAGAAAACCGAAGAAGCAAAGGUUUCCGACCUUCAUAAAUAUAUAUUAGUUUCGGCCAUCAAUGUACAAAGUAUCCUUUAGUUUAGUGGUAUAAAUGUUGGUGUUUUGUGUUCAAAAAAAAAAAAAAAAAAAAAUGUUGGUGUUUAUAUCUCAAUAACCUGGAUUCGAGUCACAACCUUGACACUUUUUCACACUUUUUAAAAAUGGGGUCCACUUAUAUGCUGACGUGGCG